GAUGAACGCUAGCGGGAGGCCUAACACAUGCCAGCCGAGCGGUAGAGUUCCUUCGGGAACUUGAGAGCGGCGUACGGGUGCGUAACACGUGUGCAACCUACCUUUAUCUGGGGGAUAGCCUUUCGAAAGGAAGAUUAAUACCCCAUAAUAUAAUGAUUGGCAUCAAUUAUUAUUGAAAACUCCGGUGGAUAGAGAUGGGCACGCGCAAGAUUAGAUAGUUGGUGAGGUAACGGCUCACCAAGUCAAUGAUCUUUAGGGGUCCUGAGAGGGAGAUCCCCCACACUGGUACUGAGACACGGACCAGACUCCUACGGGAGGCAGCAGUGAGGAAUAUUGGACAAUGGGGGAAAGCCUGAUCCAGCCAUCCCGCGUGAAGGAUGACGGUCCUAUGGAUUGUAAACUUCUUUUGUACAGGGAUAAACCUACUCUCGUGAGGGUAGCUGAAGGUACUGUACGAAUAAGCACCGGCUAACUCCGUG
rnacentral:rRNA from 1 species